GAAUUCGCCCUUAGAGUUUGAUCCUGGCUCAGGACGAACGCUGGCGGCGCGCCUAACACAUGCAAGUCGAACGAGCGAGAGAGAGCUUGCUUUCUCAAGCGAGUGGCGAACGGGUGAGUAACGCGUGAGGAACCUGCCUCAAAGAGGGGGACAACAGUUGGAAACGACUGCUAAUACCGCAUAAGCCCAUGACCCGGCAUCGGGUAGAGGGAAAAGGAGCAAUCCGCUUUGAGAUGGCCUCGCGUCCGAUUAGCUAGUUGGUGAGGUAACGGCCCACCAAGGCGACGAUCGGUAGCCGGACUGAGAGGUUGAACGGCCACAUUGGGACUGAGACACGGCCCAGACUCCUACGGGAGGCAGCAGUGGGGAAUAUUGCACAAUGGGGGAAACCCUGAUGCAGCGACGCCGCGUGGAGGAAGAAGGUCUUCGGAUUGUAAACUCCUGUUGUUGAGGAAGAUAAUGACGGUACUCAACAAGGAAGUGACGGCUAACUACGUGCCAGCAGCCGCGGUAAAACGUAGGUCACAAGCGUUGUCCGGAAUUACUGGGUGUAAAGGGAGCGCAGGCGGGAAGACAAGUUGGAAGUGAAAUCCAUGGGCUCAACCCAUAAACCGCUUUCAAAACUGUUUUUCUUGAGUAGUGCAGAGGUAGGCGGAAUUCCCGGUGUAGCGGUGGAAUGCGUAGAUAUCGGGAGGAACACCAGUGGCGAAGGCGGCCUACUGGGCACCAACUGACGCUGAGGCUCGAAAGUGUGGGUAGCAAACAGGAUUAGAUACCCUGGUAGUCCACACUGUAAACGAUGAUUACUAGGUGGUGGAGGAUUGACCCCUUCAGUGCCGCAGUUAACACAAUAAGUAAUCCACCUGGGGAGUACGACCGCAAGGUUGAAACUCAAAGGAAUUGACGGGGGCCCGCACAAGCAGUGGAGUAUGUGGUUUAAUUCGACGCAACGCGAAGAACCUUACCAAGUCUUGACAUCCUGCGACGAUGCUGGAAACAGUAUUUUCCUUCGGGACGCAGAGACAGGUGGUGCAUGGUUGUCGUCAGCUCGUGUCGUGAGAUGUUGGGUUAAGUCCCGCAACGAGCGCAACCCUUAUGGUCAGUUACUACGCAAGAGGACUCUGGCCAGACUGCCGUUGACAAAACGGAGGAAGGUGGGGAUGACGUCGAAUCAUCAUGCCCUUUAUGACUUGGGCUACACACGUACUACAAUGGCGUUAAACAAAGAGAAGCAAGACCGCGAGGUGGAGCAAAACUCAGAAGCAACGUCCCAGUUCGGACUGCAGGCUGCAACUCGCCUGCACGAAGUCGGAAUUGCUAGUAAUCGCAGAUCAGCAUGCUGCGGUGAAUACGUUCCCGGGCCUUGCACACACCGCCCGUCA
rnacentral:rRNA from 1 species